rnacentral:lncRNA from 1 species
GAAAGGGAACGAGGCGGUGGCGGGCGGAGGCGGCGAGCGAGGGCGACUGCGACCAGUGAGGCAGCCGCUGCUGCGAGGGCCACAGCCCAGGCGCGGGGGCGACAGCAGGUUAAAAAUCUGUAAGAACCUGAUUUUAGAAUUCACCAGCUCCUCAGAAGUUUGGCGAAAUAUGAGUUAUUAAACCUACGCUCAGAUCAAGUUAGCAGCUAGACUGGUGUGACAGCCUGUUUUUAAUCAGUGACUCAAAGCUGUGAUCACCCUGAUGUCACCGAAUGGCCACAGCUUGUAAAAGGUAAUUUUGAAUGUUAUUUUACAGCCUUUAAAAGGCUGUUACUGUAAAGUAAAAUACGUGCUGUAAAAAAUGAAGAAAAUGUAUAGUUGGC